CCUCUUCAGACGAGGAGGAAGAUGAGCUUUACAGUGGAUUGAACUACAAAUGCCUGUCUCAAGAUUAGCAUCACCCACCAGGGCUAUGAUGAUCUGGACUAGACUGCUGAAACGAGGCAAAGGAACAGGGCACCAUCAAAAGGAGUGAUUUAUGGGGUAGCGUGGAGCAAUUGAAGUUGGAGAUUCCGGGUGUUUGUGAUGCCCGCCGUUUGGUGCUAUGCGGAUCUGGUGGUGAGCGUGGUGAAACAGAGGAGUCACUGUCAGUACUUUUUAGUUUUGAGUCAGUCUUUACCUGACAAAGUCCUGUUAGGAUGUAUCAGUUAUCCUGUUAGAGCUUGUGUGCUGAAUCCACAAAACCCCUUAUGUUUAUUCCAUGGCCAACCAUCCCUCUAGCUACACUUAUUCCACUCUAUGAAUUUCAUGCCCCAUGGUCCCUCAACUUCAGACACUUAACUCUCCAUCUUAUCGCUUUAAACCCACCCUUCCUUCACUUGUUGGUCUCCUGAUUGGAUAACAUCUAGACUGUGUUUUACUUUUCUUUCACCUAUGUAAUGCUUUCCUCCUUCUGCUUAUUCUGGGAUUCAGACUGAAUGCAAUGGUAAAUGUGCUGCUCACAAUUGAUAGCAGCAACAUGGACCUGUUACAUUGACCAGAAGGGUGUUGAUAUAGCUGUGUUUAGGCAUGGUUACAUGGACCUGUUACAUUGACCAGAAGGGUGUUGAUAUAGCUGU